rnacentral:rRNA from 1 species
GCUAAGUAUGGGUAUGGAGGAGGGGGAAGGCGGAGGGGGCAAGCGUUUGCCGGAAUGAUUGGGGGGAAAGAGCGCGUGGGCGGUCGUUUACGUCUGCUGUGAAAACCCGGGGGUGAACGCUGGGCUGGCAGUGGAUACGGGCAGACUAGAGGCAGGGAGGUGAGAAUGGAAUUCCCGGUGUAGCGGUGAAAUGCGCAGAUAUCGGGAGGAACACCGGUGGCGAAGGCGGUUCUCUGGGCCUGACCUGACGCUGAGGAGCGAAAGCGUGGGGAGCGAACAGGAUUAGAUACCCCGGUAGUC